UACGAAGGGGGCUAGCGUUGCUCGGAAUUACUGGGCGUAAAGGGAGCGUAGGCGGAUAGUUAAGUUGGGGGUGAAAGCCCGGGGCUCAACCUCGGAAUUGCCUUCAAUACUGGCUAUCUAGAGUAUGGGAGAGGUGUGUGGAAUUCCGGGUGGAGUGGUGAAAUGCGUAGAGAUCCGGAGGAACACCAAAGGCGAAGGCAGUGUCCUGGGGAGUACCUGACGCUCAGGUGCGAAAGCCAGGGGAGCGAACGGG
rnacentral:rRNA from 1 species